rnacentral:rRNA from 1 species
GCGAGGUAACGGCUCACCAAGGCUAUGACGGGUAGCUGGUGUGAGAGCGCGACCAGUCACACUGGGAGUGAGACACGGCCCAGAAUCUUACGGGAGGCAGCAGUGGGGAAUAUUGCGCAAUGGGUGAAAGCCUGACGCAGGGACGCCGCGUGGGGGAGGAAGUCCUUAGGGUUGUAAACCCCUGUCAGGUGGGACGAACCCCGGGUCGGGGAAUAGCCGGCUCGACUGACGGUACCACCAGAGGAAGCUCCGGCUAACUCCGUGCCAGCAGCCGCGGUAAUACGGAGGGAGCGAGCGUUGUUCGGAAUCACUGGGCGUAAAGGGCGCGUAGGCGGCCGGAUAAGUCGUGUGUGAAAGGCCGGGGCUCAACCCCGCGCAUUGCACGCGAUACUGUUUGGCUAGAGAAAGGUAGGGGCGAGCGGAAUUUCCGGUGUAGCGGUGGAAUGCGUCGAUAUCGGGAGGAACACUCGUGGCGAGGGCGGCUCGCUGGGCCUUUUCUGACGUUGAAGCGCGAAAGCGUGGGGAGCAAACAGGAUUAGAUACCCUGGUAGUCCACUCCGUAAACGCUGGGCCAUAGGUGUUGGGAGGCUUGGUCCUCUCAGCGUCGACGCUAACGCAUUAAGUG